rnacentral:sRNA from 1 species
AUCAUAUGACUGAGGAGGAGAGGUUUGAAGUUGAUCAGCUCCAGGGUUUGAGAAAUUCAGUCCGAAUGGAACUUCAGGACCUGGAACUGCAGCUGGAGGAGCGCCUGCUGGGCCUGGAGGAGCAGCUUCGUGCUGUGCGCAUGCCUUCACCCUUCCGCUCCUCCGCACUCAUGGGAAUGUGUGGCAGUAGAAGCGCUGAUAACUUGUCGUGCCCUUCUCCAUUGAAUGUAAUGGAACCAGUCACUGAACUGAUACAGGAGCAGUCAUACCUGAAGUCUGAAUUGGGCCUGGGACUUGGAGAAAUGGGAUUUGAAAUUCCUCCUGGAGAAAGCUCAGAAUCUGUUUUUUCCCAGGCAACAUCAGAAUCAUCUUCUGUAUGUUCUGGUCCCUCUCAUGCUAACAGAAGAACUGGAGUACCUUCUACUGCCUCAGUGGGCAAACCCAAAACCCCAUUAGUGGCAAGGAAGAAAGUAUUCCGAGCAUCGGUGGCUCUAACGCCAACAGCUCCUUCUAGAACAGGCUCUGUGCAGACACCUCCAGAUUUGGAAAGUUCUGAGGAAGUUGAUGCAGCUGAAGAAGCCCCAGAAGUUGUAGGACCUAAAUCUGAAGUGGAAGAAGGGCAUGGAAAACUCCCAUCAAUGCCAGCUGCUGAGGAAAUGCAUAAAAAUGUGGAGCAAGAUGAGUUGCAGCAAGUCAUACGGGAGAUUAAAGAGUCUAUUGUUGGAGAAAUCAGACGGGAAAUUGUUGGCAUGGAUCCUAUUAGCUGUGUAAUACUGGAAUUAUCAAUGAUAUGCACUGGUGGAGGUGUUACUUGUGCUUUAGAAGAUACUUGCUGUUGAGCUGGGCUACUGUAUACAGUG